UACGGAGGAUCCAAGCGUUAUCCGGAAUCAUUGGGUUUAAAGGGUCCGUAGGCGGUUUGGUAAGUCAGUGGUGAAAGCCCAUCGCUCAACGGUGGAACGGCCAUUGAUACUGCCAGACUUGAAUUAUUAGGAAGUAACUAGAAUAUGUAGUGUAGCGGUGAAAUGCUUAGAGAUUACAUGGAAUACCAAUUGCGAAGGCAGGUUACUACUAAUGGAUUGACGCUGAUGGACGAAAAGCGUGGGUAGCAAACAGG
rnacentral:rRNA from 1 species